UAACCAGUUUCACGAUGUCUUCAUAUUGU
rnacentral:sRNA from 1 species